rnacentral:rRNA from 1 species
UACGUAGGGUCCGAGCGUUGUCCGGAAUUACUGGGCGUAAAGCGCUCGCAGGUGGUUCGUCGCGUCGUGCGUGAAAGACCCCGGCUCAACUGGGGAGGGUCGUGCGAUACGGGCGGACUGGAGGCCAGUAGGGGGAUGCGGAAUUCCGGGUGUAGUGGUGGAAUGCGUAGAGAUCCGGAGGAACACCAGCGGCGAAGGCGGCAUCCUGGACUGGUCCUGACACUCAUGAGCGAAAGCGUGGGGAGCGAUCCGG